GAUGAACGCUGGCGGCGUGCCUAAUACAUGCAAGUCGAGCGAACAGACGAGGAGCUUGCUCCUCUGACGUUAGCGGCGGACGGGUGAGUAACACGUGGAUAACCUACCUAUAAGACUGUGAUAACUUCGGGAAACCGGAGCUAAUACCGGAUAAUAUAUUGAACCGCAUGGUUCAAUAGUGAAAGACGGUUUUGCUGUCACUUAUAGAUGGAUCCGCGCCGCAUUAGCUAGUUGGUAAGGUAACGGCUUACCAAGGCAACGAUGCGUAGCCGACCUGAGAGGGUGGACGACCACACUGGAACUGAGACACGGUCCAGACUCCGACGGGAGGCAGCAGUAGGGAAUCUUACGCAAUGGGCGAGAGCCUGACGGAGCAAAGCCGCGUGAGUGAUGAAGGUGUUAGGAUCGUAAAACUCUGUUAUUAGGGAAGAACAAAUGUGUAAGUAACGAUGAACGUAUUGACGGUACCUAAUGAGAAAGCCACGGCUAACUACGUG
rnacentral:rRNA from 1 species